rnacentral:sRNA from 1 species
CGGAAGGACUUGAGCGCCCCGGAGCCGGGAGGCGAACUUGGGACCCGCUGGCCUCGCUCGGAUCGACCCGUACGGAUUCGAGCGGCCUGAGGACUUCGACGACGCCGCCUACGAGAAGUUUUUCUCCAGAUACCUGGUCACGCUCACCCGCAGGGCGAUCAAGUGGUCCCGGCUGCUGCAGGGCGGGGGCGUCCCCAGAAGCCGGACAGCAAAUAUCCACCAGGAGCCCUUAGGAAGACCCCUUCCUCUUCCUCCCUGGAAAGACUAAAUUCAACAAACUUAGUCCUGUUGGAUUCCUAUUUCAUUCUCCAUCCGGAGAAGAGAUGUCUGCAGGGAAGCAGCUUCAGGGCCGUUGGCGUCUUUGAGACCUCCUUCCUGGUGGCUUAGAACAUUAACACCACCUAAGUUAAAUUGAGAAAACGUAUUUUCAAAGAUACACCGAAAAAUUGGGGAUUUGCCUAACUUUGUCAGGGUAGACAGAUGGACGUCAGUUCUCUGGAUGUAGCUUCUUUUUACAAAUUUCCCAACUGUUUUGACUUGAUAUUUUAUACUUCUCCAAACAUUAGUGAUGCUCUUGAUAUUUUAUACUUCUCCAAACGUUAGUGAUGCUCUGUGGGUUAGCCCUGCCCUUGGGAAAGUGUCAGUCUGUGAGGACAAGUAAACCAUUUUCUUUCUUCUAUAAAGAAACAGUGUAAAUCCAGAUAACAAACUUAUCAAAAAGUCGCAGAAUUCUUUGUUCUGUGAAGCUUCCGGGUGUUGCUCCAACUGCCAUAGCUGCUCGGGGGCCUCGGGUGCAGGCUCGGUGCCUUCUGUUCACUUUACGAUGAGGAAACCGAGGCACGCUCAGGGUCUGGAGCCUGCAAGUCAUAGUGGAGCAGAGUGUCUGACUCCAGAGCUGGUGCGUUUAGCCAUUU